rnacentral:rRNA from 1 species
AGCAGCCGCGGUAAUUCCAGCUCCAAUAGCGUAUAUUAAAGUUGUUGCAGUUAAAAAGCUCGUAGUUGAAUUUCGGGAUCGAAUUGUUGGUCGUGCUUCGGUACGCACUGGCAUUAUCGGUUUCUACCUUCUGAAGAACCGCGAUGUCAUUAAUUUGGUGUCGUGGGGAAUCAGGACUGUUACUUUGAAAAGAUUAGAGUGUUUAAAGCAGGCUUACGCUUGAAUACAUUAGCAUGGAAUAAUGAAAUAGGACGUUUGAUUCUAUUUUGUUGGUUUCUAGGAUCGACGUAAUGAUUAAUAGGGAUAGUUGGGGGCAUUAGUAUUCAAUUGUCAGAGGUGAAAUUCUUGGAUUUAUUGAAGACUAACUACUGCGAAAGCAUUUGCCAAGGAUGUUUUCAUUAAUCAAGAACGAAAGUUAGGGGAUCGAAGACGAUCAGAUACCGUCGUAGUCUUAACCAUAAACUAUGCCGACUAGGGAUCGGAUGAUGUUAAUUUUAUAAUGACUC